GCUUGAGAAAACAGCAACAUUAACGUUCAUGCCCCUUGCCAUGGGUAAACAUGCGCACACUGGUGUUUCAAAGUGAAGUCGGGCAGAUGAUGAGAGUUCUCCCCCCACGCUGGUGACUGCAGAAGGCUUUUGUUGUUCUGCGCAAGCGAAGGUCAGGCCGCAGACAUCACUGCAUUAACAGAGACACUGGCUGCUAGAGAUUGUUUUGCUCGUGAACCGAUACAAGGAACUGAAUGAAGCGAAACCAUUGCUGUAAACACAGAAGACAUUCAGUGAUGUUCCAAAGUGCACAUUUUUGGCAGCGGUGAGCUUUCUGCGGAGAGCUGCCUGGGAAUUUACAAAUCGGUCACAUCUGAAUCCGUUUUGCGAACCUUGCUUGAGUCCGCACCUGCCCCCAGAGAGGGAUGGAAAGAGAGAGGCUACAGAAAUGUUAUCCAUUUGCUGGUGCUUCAUUAGAGCUGAAAGGAAACAGCCGCAUUUUAAUGGUCUGGUUACAACACCUUGGGUGGCAAAACAUCACGUUGCUGUUGGAAGGGAGCACUCGGUGAGUCACUUGUGCUUUUUGUUGUGUUUCCCCCCCCUGGACUCAAGAGAUUUUUAAUUUUUUUUUUCUAAAUGAAGCGUAACUUUCUCCAGGUUAUUUUUGCUGAGAAGAGAGGACAAAUACUCAAGUAAUGGAGACUGAGUCACCGAGUGGGAGAGGGAUUCCUGGCGCUGCUGUGUUUAUCGUGCACUGGAGCCAACACUGGGAUAAAGAGGGCAGCAGCGACUCACGAUCCUGCAGAGCUGGAGAUGAAACCGGGUGUGCAGAUAUAAGGAGGAGGAGUGAAGAAAAAGGACCUGCUCCCAGGUGACCCCAGGCACAGCCAGCUGGGGAGCAGUGCCACCACCAUCCCUUUGGGAAGAGCCAGCAGUUCCUGCUGCAGGACACCAGUGCCCUUUUUUUCCUCACCACUUUAAA
rnacentral:lncRNA from 1 species